rnacentral:rRNA from 1 species
AGCUCCAAUAGCGUAUAUUAAAAUUGUUGCGGUUAAAACGCUCGUAGUUGGAUGUAUGCGAAUGAAUUUCGGUCCUUCCCAGAGAAGAAUACACGGGAUUUCAUUUGUAUUUGUUCAGGGAUGGUGGAUGCACUUCACUGUGUGACCACAUAAUCUGGAUUUUUACUUUGAGGAAAUAAGAGUGUUCCAAGCAGGCAGUUGCCGUGAAUAUGAUAGCAUGGAAUAAUAGUACAGGACUCUUUGUUCAAUGCUGUUGGUUUGUUGAGCUAGAGUAAUCAAAAUAAGGAUAGUUGGGGGUAUUCGUAUUUAACUGUCAGAGGUGAAAUUCUUGGAUUUUUUAAAGACGAACAAUUGCGAAGGCAUCUACCCAGGAUG